rnacentral:rRNA from 1 species
UACGUAGGCAGCAAGCGUUGUUCGGAGUUACUGGGCGUAAAGGGUGUGUAGGCGGUUGGAUAAGUGUGGUGUGAAAUCUCCCGGCUCAACUGGGAGGGUGCGCUACAAACUGUCUGACUAGAGUGUGGGAUGGGUAAGUGGAAUUCCUGGUGUAGCGGCGAAAUGCGUAGAUAUCAGGAGGAACACCGGUGGUGUAGACGGCUUACUGGACCAUAACUGACGCUGAGACACGAAAGCGUGGGUAGCAAACAGG